GCAUUGUUAGCUUAAUUUUUAAAGCAAGGCUCUUGUAGUGCCUAGAUUGAAUUUAUUUCCCAAUGUU
rnacentral:tRNA from 1 species